UUCAAGGGCUGCCACAAUGGCCAGGAUCACAGAACAAAAGAGGCUUAAGGGUCUGUCUUCCCCUUACGGUUAUCCUAGAGGGACUCCCUGUACAGCUGAAUGGAGCUUUGAUGUUGGUAUGUUGAACUGUGUAGUAUGUGGAACUGAGCAUGAAUCGCCCUUCCACAAACGUCUGGUGUCACCGACUUCAUGAAACUGGAGUAAACCAUGAAAGCCCAGUCCUCUGCAGGGUGUACCCUGCAAGGUUUCUGACCAGUCAUCAAUGAAGUGGGUUCCCCAGGAGUCUGUACUUCUCCUUCCCACUUCUCAGCACCCACCAAACAGGUACGGUUGAGUUUCUUCUUCUGCCUAAAGUACUUCCUCCCAGCACGGCCUCACUGAAUGUCACAGCUGAAGAGUUGUGAUUGCAGGGUCUAAGAGCCCAAGAAAAGGUAUCUAUCUUAUCAAAGGUCACCAAGCUGUCAAGUUGUGAAGUGGCCUGAUCACCUUCUCUGUCUGCCAGUCUAAUCUGGGCAAGUACCAUCUGUAUGGGGUCCAGAGUCCCUGCCCAGUCUCCCGGAAGUGAGUGAACAAGGGAAGAAAGCACACACGCAUGUGCACACACCAUUGCUAGAAACAGAUAAUCAUUAACUUUGCCUAGUGCUGCUCCGAACACAGGUUAGUCCGUGAGUGAGAAUGCCUUGGGGGAACCUCUAACUGGGCCUGGGAAGGUGACAGGAGAAAAGGGUAGACUUUUAUCCAGGCACCCACCCUGGGUGUGAACACUGAGUAAUAAAGAAAGAAAUGCAGUUCAGAAACAAGAAAGGAGGAGCUUCAUACUAGGCUUUUUCUUUGAGAGGCCAGGGGCAAGCCUUGCUGUCUUGUCUAGAGUUGGAGCUGUGGGUGCCAGGGGCUGGAACAAGCUGAUCCACUGGAAAGGCAUAGAAGCAGGAGGACUUCAGAUAUUCCUUUGAAGGAAAAAAG